rnacentral:misc_RNA from 1 species
GAUGAAGAACGUAGCGAAAUGCGAUACUUGGUGUGAAUUGCAGAAUCCCGUGAACCAUCGAGUCUUUGAACGCAAGUUGCGCCCGAAGCCAUUAGGCCGAGGGCACGCCUGCCUGGGCGUCACACGUCGUUGCCCCCCCAUCUACUCCUUCGGGAUUGCGGGGGGCGGAUGAUGGCCUCCCGUGCGCCUCGUCGCGCGGUUGGCAUAAAUGCCAAGUCCUCGGCGACGCACGCCACGACAAUCGGUGGUUGCGAAACCUCGGUUGCCCGUCGUGUGCGGUCGUCACGCAUCGAGCGCUCGAAAAAAUUGCCGGGCUCCGGCUCGGCUUUCAACGCGACCCCAGGUCAGGCGGGGUUACCCGCUGAAUUUAAGCAUAUCAAUAAGCGGAGGA